CACGGUGGAUGCCUUGGCACUAGAAGCCGAUGAAGGACGUUACUAACGACGAUAUGCUUUGGGGAGCUGUAAGUAAGCUUUGAUCCAGAGAUUUCCGAAUGGGGAAACCCAGCAUGAGUUAUGUCAUGUUAUCGAUAUGUGAAUACAUAGCAUAUCAGAAGGCACACCCGGAGAACUGAAACAUCUUAGUACCCGGAGGAAGAGAAAGAAAAUUCGAUUCCCUUAGUAGCGGCGAGCGAAACGGGAAGAGCCCAAACCAACAAGCUUGCUUGUUGGGGUUGUAGGACACUCUAUACGGAGUUACAAAGGACGACAUUAGACGAAUCAUCUGGAAAGAUGAAUCAAAGAAGGUAAUAAUCCUGUAGUCGAAAAUGUUGUCUCUCUUGAGUGGAUCCUGAGUACGACGGAGCACGUGAAAUUCCGUCGGAAUCUGGGAGGACCAUCUCCUAAGGCUAAAUACUCUCUAGUGACCGAUAGUGAACCAGUACCGUGAGGGAAAGGUGAAAAGCACCCCGGAAGGGGAGUGAAAUAGAACCUGAAACCGUGUGCUUACAAGUAGUCAGAGCCCGUUAAUGGGUGAUGGCGUGCCUUUUGUAGAAUGAACCGGCGAGUUACGAUUUGAUGCAAGGUUAAGCAGUAAAUGUGGAGCCGUAGCGAAAGCGAGUCUGAAUAGGGCGUUUAGUAUUUGGUCGUAGACCCGAAACCAGGUGAUCUACCCUUGGUCAGGUUGAAGUUCAGGUAACACUGAAUGGAGGACCGAACCGACUUACGUUGAAAAGUGAGCGGAUGAACUGAGGGUAGCGGAGAAAUUCCAAUCGAACCUGGAGAUAGCUGGUUCUCUCCGAAAUAGCUUUAGGGCUAGCCUCAAGUGAUGAUUAUUGGAGGUAGAGCACUGUUUGGACGAGGGGCCCCUCUCGGGUUACCGAAUUCAGACAAACUCCGAAUGCCAAUUAAUUUAACUUGGGAGUCAGAACAUGGGUGAUAAGGUCCGUGUUCGAAAGGGAAACAGCCCAGACCACCAGCUAAGGUCCCAAAAUAUAUGUUAAGUGGAAAAGGAUGUGGCGUUGCCCAGACAACUAGGAUGUUGGCUUAGAAGCAGCCAUCAUUUAAAGAGUGCGUAAUAGCUCACUAGUCGAGUGACACUGCGCCGAAAAUGUACCGGGGCUAAACAUAUUACCGAAGCUGUGGAUUGUCCUUUGGACAAUGGUAGGAGAGCGUUCUAAGGGCGUUGAAGCAUGAUCGUAAGGACAUGUGGAGCGCUUAGAAGUGAGAAUGCCGGUGUGAGUAGCGAAAGACGGGUGAGAAUCCCGUCCACCGAUUGACUAAGGUUUCCAGAGGAAGGCUCGUCCGCUCUGGGUUAGUCGGGUCCUAAGCUGAGGCCGACAGGCGUAGGCGAUGGAUAACAGGUUGAUAUUCCUGUACCACCUAUAAUCGUUUUAAUCGAUGGGGGGACGCAGUAGGAUAGGCGAAGCGUGCGAUUGGAUUGCACGUCUAAGCAGUAAGGCUGAGUAUUAGGCAAAUCCGGUACUCGUUAAGGCUGAGCUGUGAUGGGGAGAAGACAUUGUGUCUUCGAGUCGUUGAUUUCACACUGCCGAGAAAAGCCUCUAGAUAGAAAAUAGGUGCCCGUACCGCAAACCGACACAGGUAGUCAAGAUGAGAAUUCUAAGGUGAGCGAGCGAACUCUCGUUAAGGAACUCGGCAAAAUGACCCCGUAACUUCGGGAGAAGGGGUGCUCUUUAGGGUUAACGCCCAGAAGAGCCGCAGUGAAUAGGCCCAAGCGACUGUUUAUCAAAAACACAGGUCUCUGCUAAACCGUAAGGUGAUGUAUAGGGGCUGACGCCUGCCCGGUGCUGGAAGGUUAAGAGGAGUGGUUAGCUUCUGCGAAGCUACGAAUCGAAGCCCCAGUAAACGGCGGCCGUAACUAUAACGGUCCUAAGGUAGCGAAAUUCCUUGUCGGGUAAGUUCCGACCCGCACGAAAGGCGUAACGAUUUGGGCACUGUCUCAACGAGAGACUCGGUGAAAUCAUAGUACCUGUGAAGAUGCAGGUUACCCGCGACAGGACGGAAAGACCCCGUGGAGCUUUACUGUAGCCUGAUAUUGAAAUUCGGCACAGCUUGUACAGGAUAGGUAGGAGCCUUUGAAACGUGAGCGCUAGCUUACGUGGAGGCGCUGGUGGGAUACUACCCUAGCUGUGUUGGCUUUCUAACCCGCACCACUUAUCGUGGUGGGAGACAGUGUCAGGCGGGCAGUUUGACUGGGGCGGUCGCCUCCUAAAAGGUAACGGAGGCGCUCAAAGGUUCCCUCAGAAUGGUUGGAAAUCAUUCAUAGAGUGUAAAGGCAUAAGGGAGCUUGACUGCGAGACCUACAAGUCGAGCAGGGUCGAAAGACGGACUUAGUGAUCCGGUGGUUCCGCAUGGAAGGGCCAUCGCUCAACGGAUAAAAGCUACCCCGGGGAUAACAGGCUUAUCUCCCCCAAGAGUUCACAUCGACGGGGAGGUUUGGCACCUCGAUGUCGGCUCAUCGCAUCCUGGGGCUGUAGUCGGUCCCAAGGGUUGGGCUGUUCGCCCAUUAAAGCGGUACGCGAGCUGGGUUCAGAACGUCGUGAGACAGUUCGGUCCCUAUCCGUCGUGGGCGUAGGAAAUUUGAGAGGAGCUGUCCUUAGUACGAGAGGACCGGGAUGGACAUACCUCUGGUGUACCAGUUGUCGUGCCAACGGCAUAGCUGGGUAGCUAUGUGUGGACGGGAUAAGUGCUGAAAGCAUCUAAGCAUGAAGCCCCCCUCAAGAUGAGAUUUCCCAACUUCGGUUAUAAGAUCCCUCAAAGAUGAUGAGGUUAAUAGGUUCGAGGUGGAAGCAUGGUGACAUGUGGAGCUGACGAAUACUAAUCGAUCGAAGAC
rnacentral:rRNA from 1 species